GCGCCCUUAGCUCAGCUGGUAGAGCAACUGACUCUUAAUCAGUGGGUCUAGGGUUCGAAUCCCUAAGGGCGCACGA
rnacentral:tRNA from 1 species